CUUUCUCAGAUCGUUGAAGAAACAGUUUCUUGCGUCUAGGCUCGUCGGCUUCCUUCGAUUCCGGCGAUGGACGUUUCACGGGGCUGGUGGUUGAGGUGGUUGAAGAGGAGCUGAAAGAUCCGAAGUUGAAGAUGGUGCCAGAUACUUCGUCGACGACUUCAAUCUCUCUCUCUCUCGACCGCCGCUUUAUCCCUCUCAGUCUCCCUCUCUCUUUUUCCCCCUUUCCUUCGAUUUUGUCAUAAACCCUAAUUUUACUUCUUUAUUUCGUCUUGUUUUUGCUACAGGUUAUCCUAAGAGAUUUAAAUCGAGAAGGGAAAAAAUCUCUGAGCUUCUUUUCUCUUGUAGAGUGAAUCGAUGCAUCAGAUGCGACCAUCUCGAGCUUACGAUUCCUGGGGACGACGAAGAGGGAGAGGCUAAUUUGGGAUGUGGAGUCGCCGGUGAUGAUGGUGUUACGAGGGUUGAUGUUGAUGAAGAUUAUGAAGAAGCUGGUGGUAGUAAAGAGAGCAAAGCUAAUAGAUUAUAGAUGAGCCAAUCUCGGUGUUGCUCGAAUCCUUGAGAAAGCUUCAAUUGAUGUCUUUGAAUUUGGAUAUUCUUAAGAGUACUGAAAUCGGAAAGGCUGUUAAUGGUUUGAGGAAACAUGGGUUUUGAUAAGAUUCGCCAACUCGCAAAGACUAUUAUCCUUGAAUGGAAGGAGUUGGUAGCAGAAACUCAAAGCUUUUGAUGCAGACGCAAGAAGUGAUGAAAAGCUCCAGGACCUUAACAAGAAGUGAGUGUGGGAAUCAAAGAGUUUUAGUCGUAUUCUUGAGCAGGGAAGUAACGGUUUUAAUCCUUCUUUGUUCAU